rnacentral:rRNA from 1 species
GUAGGUGGCAAGCGUUGUCCGGAAUUAUUGGGCGUAAAGCGCGCGCAGGCGGUUCUUUAAGUCUGAUGUGAAAGCCCACGGCUCAACCGUGGAGGGUCAUUGGAAACUGGAGAACUUGAGUACAGAAGAGGAAAGCGGAAUUCCACGUGUAGCGGUGAAAUGCGUAGAGAUGUGGAGGAACACCAGUGGCGAAGGCGGCUUUCUGGUCUGUAACUGACGCUGAGGCGUGAAAGCGUGGGGAGCAAACAGGAUUAGAUACCCUGGUAGUCCACGCCGUAAACGAUGAGUGCUAGGUGUUAGGGGGUUUCCGCCCCCCUUAGUGCUGCAGCUAACGCAUUAAGCACUCCGCCUGGGAGUACGGCCGCAAGGCUG